AUUGAACGCUGGCGGCAGGCCUAACACAUGCAAGUCGAACGCGUCGCGGACGGGUGAGUAAUCUCUGGGAAACUGCCUGAUGGAGGGGGAAAACUACUGGAAGCGGUCUCUAAUACCGCAUCCCCUCAUAUGUGCCCAGAUGGGAUUAGCUAGUUGGUGGGGUAACGGCUCACCAAGGCGACGAUCCCUCGCUGGUCUGAGAGGAUGACCAGCCACACUGGAACUGAGACACGGUCCAGACUCCUACGGGAGGCAGCAGUGGGGAAUAUUGCACAAUGGGCGCAAGCCUGAUGCAGCCAUGCCGCGUGUAUGAAGAAGGCCUUCGGGUUGUAAAGUACUUUCAGCGGGGAGGCGUUACCCGCAGAAGAAGCACCGGCUAACUCCGUGCCAGCAGCCGCGGUAAUAC
rnacentral:rRNA from 1 species